rnacentral:rRNA from 1 species
UACGAAGGGGGCUAGCGUUGCUCGGAGUUACUGGGCGUAAAGGGCGCGUAGGCGGUUUCUUGCGUCACACGUGAAAGCCCCUGGCUCAACCAGGGAGGGUCGUGUGAAACGGGGGAACUGGAGGCAGCGAGAGGCUGGUGGAAUUCCCGGAGUAGUGGUGAAAUGCGUAGAGAUGUGGAGGAAUACCGAUGGCGAAGGCAGCCCCCUGGGAUAAUACUGACGCUCAUGCACGAAAGCGUGGGGAGCAAACAGG